AAGCACAUUUCACUAUCUUGCUCUUUAUUUGAGAGUUGAGAUAUGUCUGAUGUGCAAGAUUAAGUCUGAAGGUAAAUUAACAGCAUGUCUGUCGAGUGUCACUGCUGUCAGUCCCCUUCAGACAAUU
ensembl:snoRNA